UACGUAGGGAGCAAGCGUUGUCCGGAAUCAUUGGGCGUAAAGCGCGCGUAGGUGGCUUCGUAAGUCCGUUGUGAGAGUCAAAGGCUCAACCUUUGAAAGCCGAUGGAUACUGCGGAGCUAGAGUACGGAAGAGGCGAGUGGAAUUCCUGGUGUAGCGGUGGAAUGCGCAGAUAUCAGGAGGAACACCAAUAGCGAAGGCAGCUCGCUGGGACGUUACUGACACUGAGGCGCGAAAGCGUGGGGAGCGAACAGG
rnacentral:rRNA from 1 species